rnacentral:tRNA from 1 species
GUGUGGCCGAGUGGACUAAGGCGGUAGACUCAAGAUUUACUGGAAUUAUCCUCGUGGGUUCGAAU